GACGAACGCUGGCGGCGUGCCUAAUACAUGCAAGUAGAACGCUGAAGAGAGGAGCUUGCUCUUCUUGGAUGAGUUGCGAACGGGUGAGUAACGCGUAGGUAACCUGCCUUGUAGCGGGGGAUAACUAUUGGAAACGAUAGCUAAUACCGCAUAACAAUGGAUGACACAUGUCAUUUAUUUGAAAGGGGCAUUUCCCCCAUUACAAGAUGGACUUGCGUUGUAUUAGCUAGUAGGUGAGGUAACGGCUCACCUAGGCGACGAUACAUAGCCGACCUGAGAGGGUGAUCGGCCACACUGGGACUGAGACACGGCCCAGACUCCUACGGGAGGCAGCAGUAGGGAAUCUUCGGCAAUGGGGGCAACCCUGACCGAGCAACGCCGCGUGAGUGAAGAAGGUUUUCGGAUCGUAAAGCUCUGUUGUAAGUCAAGAACGAGUGUGAGAGUGGAAAGUUCACACUGUGACGGUAGCUUACCAGAAAGGGACGGCUAACUACGUG
rnacentral:rRNA from 1 species